GGGAAAAUAAGUGUGCCUGGGUCUCCUGCCAAGAAAGCCCUGGAGCAGCCUGGGGGGCUCAGGAGGACGCCCCGAGGCAACAGCGGCCACACAGACAAGGGGCAAGGGCUCCGGGUCUCCAGACGCUCCCUCCUCCUGCGCCCAGCAGCAGGGGUCUCCCUGUGGUCAGGGCACCCUGGGCCUCUGGGGUCCCAUGGCCCAAGAACCCCCGGGCCCUCCAUGGGCUCCGUCUGAGAGGGUCCCAGGGACUUAGUGGGUGCCAGUUCUUGCCUGGGGUCCUGGCAUUGUUGUCACAAUGUGACAACUGGUUCGAUGUCUGGGGCCAGGGAACCCUGGUCACCGUCUCCUCAGGGAGUGCAUCAGCCCCAACCCUCUUCCCCCUCGUCUCCUGUGAGAAUGCCCAGCUGGAUACGAACAAAGUGGCCGUUGGCUGCCUCGCACAGGACUUCCUUCCCAACUCCAUCACUUUCUCCUGGAAAUUCAAGAACAACUCUGACAUCAGCAAUGGCAUCUGGGGCUUCCCAUCAGUCCGGAGAGGGGACAAGUACGCGGCCACCUCGCAGGUGCUGCUGGCUUCCAAGGACAUCAUGCAGGGCACAGACGAACACGUGGUGUGCAAAGUCCAGCACCCCAACGGCAACAAAGAAAAGAACGUGCCUCUUCCAGUGUUUCCCGAGCGGCCUCCCAACGUGAGUGUCUUCGUCCCACCCCGCGACGGCUUCGUCGGCAACCCCCGCAAGUCCAGGCUCAUCUGCCAGGCCACAGGUUUCAGCCCCCGGCAGGUUGAGGUGUCCUGGCUGCGCGACGGGAAGCAGGUGGGGUCUGGCAUCACCACGGACCAGGUGGAGGCUGAAGCCAAAGAGUCUGGGCCCACGACCUUCAAGGUGACCAGCACACUGACCAUCAGCGAGAACGACUGGUUCAGCCAGAAGGUGUUCACCUGCCGCGUGGAUCACAGGGGCCUGACCUUCCAGAAGAAUGUGUCCUCCCUGUGUGAAAUCAAUCCAGACAUACCCAUCCGGGUCUUCGCCAUCCCCCCAUCCUUUGCCAGCAUCUUCUUCACCAAGUCCACCAAGUUGACCUGCCUGGUCACAGACCUGGCCACCUACGACAGUGUGACCAUCUCCUGGACCCGCCAGAAUGGCGAAGCUCUGAAAACCCACACCAACAUCUCCGAGAGCCACCCCAAUGGGACCUUCAGCGCCGUGGGUGAGGCCAGCAUCUGCGAGGACGACUGGAACUCCGGGGAGAGCUUCAGCUGCACCGUGACCCACAUGGACCUGCCCUCGCCGCUGAAGCAGACCAUCUCCAGGCCCAAGGGCGUGGCCAUGCACAGGCCCGAGGUCUACUUGCUGCCACCAGCCCGGGAGCAGCUGAACCUGCGGGAGUUGGCCACCAUCACCUGCCUGGUGACGGGCUUCUCUCCCGCGGACAUCUUCGUGCAGUGGAUGCAGAGGGGACAGACUUUGCCCCCGGAGAAGUAUGUGACCAGUGCCCCAAUGCCUGAGCCCCAGGCCCCAGGCCGGUACUUCGCCCACAGCAUCCUGACCGUGUCUGAAGAUGACUGGAACACGGGGGAGACCUAUACCUGCGUCGUGGCCCAUGAGGCCCUGCCCAACAGGGUCACCGAGAGGACCGUGGACAAGUCCACCGGUAAACCCACCCUGUACAACGUGUCCCUCGUCAUGUCCGACACAGCCGGCACCUGCUACUGACCCUGCUGGCCUGCCCACAGGCUCAGGGCGGCCGGCCGCUCUGUGUGCGCGCGCGCAAACUAACCGUGUCAACGGGGUGAGAUGUUGCAUCUUAUAAAAUUAGAAAUAAAAAGAUCCAUUCAAAAGAUA